rnacentral:rRNA from 1 species
ACAUACUGUGCGAACGUUAUUCGGAAUCACUGGGCUUAAAGGGUGCGUAGGCGGUGGUUCAAGUCAGAUGUGAAAUGCCUGAGCUCAACUGAGGCAUUGCGUUUGAAACUGGAUCGCUUGAGUAUCCCAGGGGUGUGCGGAACUGCCAGUGGAGCGGUGAAAUGUGUUGAUAUUGGCAGGAACACCGGAGGCGAAAGCGGCACACUGGGGGAUAACUGACGCUGAGGCACGAAAGCCAGGGUAGCGAACGGGAUUAGAUACCCCGGUAGUCCUGGCUGUAAACGAUGAGCACUGGGCGGGAGGAAGUUCGCUUUUUCCUGCCGUAGCGAAAGCGUUAAGUGCUCCGCCUGGGGAGUAUGGUCGCAAGGCUG